AAUAACAUUUUUUAAACAUUUUUAAACAUUUUUUUUAAAACGACAGAAUAAGAAACGUCCUUGGAGAUACUCUACAAGUUCAAAACUUUUUGUCCCAGUGGAUCAACUGAGGCCCAGUGGCAGAAAAUGGCUUGCUUGAGGUCCUACCGUCUGAAAACCACCUUCUGAACGCAGCCUUCCUUACUCACGGCCGCCGGAAGGAGGCACCCCCUCUCCACGCCCCUGGUUCUUAUUUACCACACUGUCCAGGCGAAUCCACGAGACUGGGGGCCUCCCGAGGGCAGGUCGGAGUUCCGUUCAUCUUCAUACGGAUGACUUAGCAGAGAGGAAGUCUUCAACAGGGGUUGGCAGG